AAAUGAAUUGACGGGGGCCCGCACAAGCAGCGGAGCAUGUGGUUUAAUUCGAAGCAACGCGAAGAACCUUACCAGGGCUUGACAUCCCUCUGGAUGGUAUAGAGAUAUACCAGGCCUGUACUAUUGGUGUACAGGACAGAGGAGACAGGUGGUGCAUGGUUGUCGUCAGCUCGUGUCGUGAGAUGUUGGGUUAAGUCCCGCAACGAGCGCAACCCUUAUCCCUAGUUGCCAGCACGUAGUGGUGGGGACUCUAGGGAGACUGCCGUGGAUAACACGGAGGAAGGUGGGGACGACGUCAAAUCAUCAUGCCCCUUAUGUCCUGGGCUACACACGUGCUACAAUGGCCAGCAACAGAGGGGAGCGAAGCGGUAACGCGGAGCGAAUCCCAAAAACCUGGUCUCAGUUCGGAUUGUGGGCUGCAACUCGCCCACAUGAAGUCGGAGUUGCUAGUAAUCGCGAAUCAGCAUGUCGCGGUGAAUACGUUCCCGGGCCUUGUACACACCGCCCGU
rnacentral:rRNA from 1 species